AACAAUAUGACUGAAAUUAAGUGAUAAAUUGUAAAUUUAUUUAUGAAAAUAUAUUUUCUAUUGUUA
rnacentral:tRNA from 1 species